CGACCCCUAUGUCAACAAAUAGGUCAGGUGUCGGACAUAUGCUAUAGAAAUACUUUUAUGGCCACAUAAUUUUAAAGGUAAUUAAAUCCUCAACAUAUAUGUAUUAAAAAUUAUACAUUUAUAUCAACUUCGAUUUUACAAUAAGCAAAGGAAGUCUUAGUACACCGAUAGAUGAAACACACAGGCUACAGAAGAGAAACUGAAAGUAGACAAUUCCGAUGAAAUGACUUUUAUUUAUUUAUAAGGGUGGUGAUGCUUUUUUUAAUUUUUUGAUGAAUGCCAAAAGAAGAUAUGUUUAUGAACUUAAACAAUAAAUUAUGCAUUUGCUUUUUAUUAGAAGCAAACAAAUCUGACUUUGGGAAUUGAAAUGAAAAAUAUUGGUAAUUCAUUCCAUUAUCUCUACUCAGUAUUAGUCUGAAAGUCAUCAUUUAUGAUCAUAGGCAGCAGAUUUUGAAUCCAAUUUUAGAGGAAGGUAAGCCCAUUAAAUUGUCUCUGAAAGAUAAUUAUUGUUCUGUGAAGUAUUCUAUUUUUUAAAGUGUCCUUUUAUUAUGCAAUAUGGCUGUUUCUCAUAAAAAUAGAGAUGAAGUGCUGGAAAAAGGGGUAAACAAGGUGAAUUGGCACGUGUGUCAUGCCCGUAAUGCUACAUGGCGAUGAUGAAAAUCCCUUGGUAUGUGACCCAAAUCCCCUUAAAUUCUGGACAUGAUCCCCUCGGGAGCCUUCCAAAAUUAUGGCAAUUUGUUUUUUUUCGUACUUGCGUCUUAAAAUACUUUGAAAUUUUGCCAAAGUAGAUCUGCUAAAAAAUCCCCCUGAAUACUACCAAAAUCCCCCUGAAUUUUCAGACUUUUGAACAAAUCCCCCUGAAUGGUCUCCAGAAAAUAAUGCAUGUAUGAUUUUGACAUUUAAUUUUUGUUAAGAUUGUCUGCCCCUGACUAAAUGCUUAAUUUCUUGGUCUUUGGACUGUUGUUUGCAUCUUCAAAACCUGACAUUAGGGAAUAGGACAUAUUUUUCUUAUAUUUUAGCCAGUUUAACUGCAAUUUACGUUGUAUUUAUCAAUAAUUCAGGUAAAAAAUGACAUCAUUUCCAUUUAUGACCUGAUAGAUAUUUGCUAAUUUGCUUUAUGUCAUGCAUAUGUUCAUUGGAGAGUGUCAUGGACAACUGAAACUUUUCAGGACACAAUAUGCAAAUUAAGAAUAUAUUGUGUGGGCCGGCUUUGUGAACAAAACCACAAGAUGGCUAUGGUAAGUUGUACCAAGAUAUCCUUGGGAUUGAUUGAUUAAUUGAUUAAGGGGGUUGUGUAAGUGAUUAAGUGUGAGGCCAUAACUCGAAGACUGUUGGGCUGUAAAGGUGUGUGAGUGUGUUCAUGCACUUUCACAUUUUCCGUCUCAGUCAGCAUACAGGCCCGUCUUCAGACAUUCUGCCAUGAAUGUGGGGGUAUUUAAAGUCAUUUCUUACUUCCUGUGUUGAUUUAUUGGUGUUUGAUUAAAUUUACACUCCCAUGUUACUGAGUAACUCUUUGAAUCUGGGCCUCAAUCAUAAAGCUAGAGCUUGGCAUAUUCUUAUACAAAUUUCUGCGAGAUUUCCUCCCUUAAAAAAUAUGCCCAUCUCAAGUCUACACUUUGUUAAUUUUUUAACAGCUUUCUGAUACUUUUUGUUAAUUUGAGAUCUUUAUGAGGCCACUUUCAAGUAACAAGAUUCUCAGGGUAUGCACUGGGUGACAAAGGCUGCCCAGUAAAAUGUUUUUCUUUUUUCUGGAGAGAUAUUUCUAGUGAAUUGCCCAGUUGCAGUGGUGUUGACGCCACAGAACCAGCAUUUUCAGAUAUACUGUCUUGUGUAUCGGGCAGAAAUGCAGAGUGGUACUACCAGUCACCUAAGCCACCAUUCCCCUCACAGACAAAAGGCUCAUGGGAUAGGUCCCUGCAGUUUACAGCAAAGCUUUCAAUUGUAGCCCUACAAACUUCAGAUAAGCAAUAAAUUUGGGCUUUAAGAUAUCUAUGCUCUUCAGUAUAAGUUCAUACUUAGUUUGAGCGAAACUCACAAUUUCAGCAUCAAAAUCCAGGUUAAGAUCCCAAUCUGAGCCUUGUCACCUUCAAUAUACUUAGGUUAAGAUGUUCUUUAAGCUACAAACGUGUUCACUACCAUUGACAGAUAAGAAUUUUCACAAUUUGAUCAUGGAUGCGUUAUCCCAGAUUUACAACCUCUUCUUGCAGAUUCUGCCGAGGGCGUAGCUCUGGUGCACUGGGCCAAUUUUCCAGCCGUGUGGAAUCUACAUCUCCAGCUGAACUGGGAUCGGGACUAAUAUCAGACUCCCUAGCAGCAUGUUGGAGAUGGGGAUGAUGACAGACCAGCCAGCCGAACUUAAAUUGGAGUAGACAUCAUGUGCCACCUGGUUGCUGAAGCUCGAGAGGACCUAGUCUAGGAUAGUUCUGUCUGGAAUUCCAUACCACCUCCAGAGAAUGGAAAAUGUCUUCAAAUUCUGAUGUGCCAGCCGCCUGAAGUGGUCAAACAAUUUGAAACUGGAUGCAGCACAGAAUCCCAUAUUUCAAGAGAAUGCAGAUGUUAGUCACCCCUGUCAAACUUGUUUGUGUGUAAAUAAUACAAAAUGUGACAUUUACAGCAAAUAUGUAAUAAUUGAGCAACAUAUAGACAAUUGCAAAACUCUGUUCUGUUAAUUUAUGUGCCAUAUUUAGCAUUUAAAACCAGAUACUUUUAGUUUUUGCUGGUUUGUUCGGUUUCUUUUUUUCAUGAUUUUUUCAAGAAGAAAUCAGUUCGGUGUAUAGUAGUUAUGGUGUUUUAACUGUCAAUGAAUCCAAGAUCACUGUAUGUUGUUGAACUGAUAUACAUGUAUAUGUUAAACAUUGAAGAUCCAGCUGUCAGUACAGAAAACAUUGAUUGUGCUUUUGAGAACACCGAAUUUUAUCAACAUAAUUUGACACUACAUAUUGCAAGCAUUUUUUUCAGAUAAAUCUAUAUAAAUUAAUAGUAGAUAACUGUAGCCUUAAUUUGUGCAUAUUAACAUAAGUGAAUAGUUUAAUAGCCCCAUGAUGUCAUUCUGUAUAAAUUAUAUAAUAUAAUCAUUUUAAUUGUUUCAAUUGUUUUCAUAUAUAAAUGGUUUUAGAACUGAAAUUUGGUCUUGCUCUAUUGGCUCAGGUACACUCAACAAAUAUAACAAAUAUAUGAAAUAGUGCUUAGUGAGUUCAGCUGACAGUUUUUCACUGGGUUCUUAUUUGGGUGUGUUCCAACAAUAUCACUGACUUGAUUACUUUCAUUGUAUAUUUUAUAUAGGUGCUAAAUUUAGAAUAUAUUUUCAGCUCUGUUGAAUGUUGAUUGUAAUUGCAAUUUAUCAUUUCUUUUAGAUCACCCUGUGGGUUAAACAUUAUGUGAGGGUUAGAAGUCAUUUGUUUGUAAUUACACCUUGAUAAGUUUAAACUUUAAUAUACUGGGUCUUGAAAGUCCCAUGAUAUGAGCAAUUGGUUUUGACUAUAUUCAUGCAUCAUUUAGAAUAAACCUCAUAAGAGGUCAUAACAUAUUGGGCCUUUAAAAGUUAGAAAAUUUUAACAUUAAUUUAUUCAUACAAUUUUAUUUCCCAUCAGAUGUAAAAAACAACAAUCUUUUUAUCAAAAAGCAAGACCAAUAGGUCACUGUUGGUGAUCUGUAAAAAAUACAUGUGUUGCUGCAUAUUUAACUGUCACGGGUCUUUUGGUUUAUACCUGAUUUUAGCAAAGCUGUUUACAAUAUUCAUUAAUUGAAAUUUAAAUAAUUUUGAUCAUUGGACAUGAUGUUUAAUAUAUGACGAAUAUGUUUGUCAGAUUUGUCAUUGGAAACACAAAUUAUUUUAAAGUGUAUUGAAAGCAUCAUUUUGAUAAUUCUGUAAUUAAAGCAGAAUUGUGUUUGCCCUUAAAAUCUAAACGACACAAACAAUUUUUUGUUCAUAAUUAACAUUUUGCAACUUUUUUGGCAGGGAUGGAGUGUACGUUUUUGUAACAAACAAAUAAGAAUAUAUUCUGUAUUCUCACUGAGAUAUUUUGCAGACAAUUUGCCGGAGCUGCUUUGCUACAUACUGUUCAUAUACAAUCAUAAUUAUUAGUAAUUGAUUAAAUGUUUUGCCAUGUUUUACCAUCAUAUUUAAAUAAAUUUUUGCCCAUUCAAUUCUAGUUAAAAUUAUAAUUACCCCUGCUUGUAUUGAUAUGUGAUCAUUUUUAGCUUGACUAUUCGAAGAAUAAGGAGAGCUAUCCUAGUCACCCGAGUGUCAGCAUCUGAGCAUUACCACUUAUGUUAAAGUUUGCGUACCACCUCAAAUAUUUUCAAAGUCCAUUGACAUACUGUUUUGAAACUUGUUCACCAUCAUGCCCCCAACCUGUACACAGAAGGAGGUCACUGUAUCGAACAUUUUGACAGAAUUAUGGCCCUUUUUUACUUAGAAUUUACAUGUAAGUUUGCGUACCUCCUCAAAUAUUUUUAAAGUCCAUUGACAUCUGGCUUUGAAACUUUGUUCACCAUCAUGCCCCCAACCUGUACACAGGUGGAGGUAACUCUGAUUAAAUUAUGCCCCUUUUUCAACUUGCAAUUUAUGUUAAAGUUUGCUUACCACCUCAAAUAUUUUCCAAUUCAAUUUAUGUAAAUAUCUCAGCACAUCAUGUAUUGCAUUGAAAUCUAAUCUAACAGUGAUCCAUGCAUGUUUCGCCAAAACUUUUCAGUCCAUACACCGAAAAGCUGCAGAAUAGUCGAGCGCGCUGUCUCUGUGAAAGCUCUUGUUUUUAUUUAUUUUCUGUUUGUAACAUAUUCCUCAAAUGCGUUUGUGUACUUGAUCUCAAAUGCAUAGUAGCUUUA